AAGCCCUACUUCUGAAAAUAUAGCAACAGUUGCUAUGUGGAUUCUGGAAAUGAGGGAGGUCAGUGUGAGCAUUUGGGAAGAGAGCAGAAUGCAAAGCAUUUUUCUUUUAGAGGAAAUUGCAAGCUGAGAAGAAGGCAGCAACCCUUGACAACUGUAUUGAAAUUAACUCCUUCAUAUUUCAUGUCUACAAAGUAACAGCAGUCACAUAAAAAUCGAUGACAAUGGUGUCUUCAAUGCCAUGAUUCUCCUGAUGCUUGUACCUGACAGUUCCUGGGUGCUUCUACAGCAUUUUGGCUGCUAAAAAUCAAGUACUCCAGGAGACCAAGAAAGUGCAGUAAGGAUGUAUUCAGCAAUGAACUUUGAAUUGACAUCCAGAAGAACUUUUAACCUUCAGAUGAGUUCUGUUCCAAGUCUUGUUUCAUCACUGGCAAUCUUAUCUGCAUAUGACGUCUUCAGCUAUGGCAUGGGAAACAUACAUUCAAGGCAUAGAUGACGUAAAACUGACAAUAACAUCUCUGAUUCCCACCAAAUAAUUGCCAAGACACUAACCACGGACACCGGGGCAAUGGUGUAACGAUUUGGCUGGAGAGAGAUGCCACGAAUUGAAGGAAAGGACAUAAAAGUUUUAAAAGAGGAAACAGGAAGAUAAUGGACAACACGAGUGAAUCUAAAUCCGUCUCAAGGGAGUUUCCUGAGAUCGUGGGGAGCAGCCACGUUCUGUUCCUAGAUUUACUACUGAGCGUCCGCUGUAAACAGUUGGCUGCCCCAGACCUUAUUUCCAGACAAGAAUUCCAGGACCGAAGGUGCAGGUCGCCUGCUCAGCCCCAGUCAUUUCACGUCAAUCCUUAAGGCCACCGCCUUCACCUGCUGCUCUCUCACUGCGGCUGGAUCUACACCCUUAGACUGGAUUCCCCCAGAUGGCAAUGAUCUGGAUUCCUUUUUUGACCAAGACCUAUUACUGACUCCUAAGGAGAUGGUUUACUUGGAAUAUCCAAAGUUUUCUGAACUCAUUCCAUAGAGGUUUCUCCUGAAACCUUGGCUUGAGCCCGGAUCUGUUCCCCCUUCACAGACGUCCAUAAAGUUCUGGCCGGUUUCUCCUUUCGGUGCUCAGAGUGAAGCGAGACACCUGCCUAUGUGAGAUUUUUCUCCAGAUUUUAUUUUAGGAAUGAUAUGGUCCCGAGUAAGCCCCCUGGCUCAUCAAGUUCAUCAGAGUAAAAAUCAGACUUUCCAGGUCACACCGCUGUGGGUCACCAUCUUGGCACGCACCUGCUCUGGAUCGGAGACUCUUCCUAUCUUCCCCAGGUGUACCAGAACGCCUUGUGGAGACUCCCUCUGCCUGUGCACCUCUGUCUCUGUUCCUGUACGUCCCUAAAGAAAAGGUGGAUGGAGCCAAACCUUAACUUCCUGCACGUCCUCUUUUCCUCACAUCCUUAACAUCCAGGUCACAUACGCUGUAGCCUGAAGCCUGUUUAAGGCUUCUCUCAUUCCCCUGCAGAUUCUACCUCUGCAGUUCGUCUCUGAGCCUGACUCUUCUGGUAAUCGUGACAGAUUGCCCACCCUAUAACUCUCCUCAAUUAUUCCCUUCCUUCUUAGUGGUUCUGUUUUUUUCAGACGAUAACAUGUACACACACACACACACACACACACACACACACACGCACACACGCACACACCUACUUUACAAGAGAUGUUCCUUUCAUUGCCAGAGCAUCUAUCUCUUCACAGUACACAAGGUAGGGAUGAUGAGUCUUUUCACACAACCAAUGGAAAAGCUAAGCCAUAUCCUGGGAACAGGGCAGCUGGGUAAGAGCAGAAACAAGGGCCGAAAGGGAGAUGUGACUUGAUUUGCACCUGAGUCACAAGGGCCUGCAGGAAGAGGAAAAGCCCUUUCUUACGGCCAGUCCCUCUUGUGCUCUUAUGAUGACUCCCAUCUUACGUAAUCAAGUAUAUUCUACUUGACCUCCAGCUGUGGUCCAGUUGUCAUCCGGCAACUUUCCAUGCCUGCGAUCACAUGGACAGAACCAGUGGGUAGGUCUCAGGGUGGCUUGGAGGGAUAUAGAGAGCUAAGAAACACCUGGUCUCAGCCCAGAGCAAGAAGGCGGAGGGAUCUCCUAUCUUCUGAGGGUCAAGCUAGCCACAGAAAUUCUCUCCAGUGUCCCCAAGGAGCCCCAAUAUGCAGUCCAGGUAGAAAGGAACUGGGUGGAACUUAUUUUCCACGUCUCACCCCAUAUUUCUGAAGUUUGUGCAACAAACAAAGGUCUUGAAUCAUCUUGAGUACUUUGAACUCCUCAAAGCCUCCUUAAUCGCUUCCUGGCUUUGACUCCUAACACUAGGGCAGGUUUUCAAAGGCAGAUAAGAUACAAGUUGUAAUAUGGACGGGCGAGAGCUGCACGUGUAGCAGCGCCGAAGCCACCCAGAGCAUAAGGGCACGGGUGUCAGGCCAUCCAUCAGCAUGACGCUGGCUGACGAUGAAGGCUGUGGUCGCCGGUACCAUAGCAUCAGGGAUGGAGUCAGCUGUGCGACCGGAUUACAGCCUCUCCGUCACCCCCAGCCUUCUGGGAAAAAAGUCUCCCUGCAGAAAGUGGUUGAUAUGAACAAUCUUGUCCAUAUCAACUCCAUUCUCCAAAAAGCAAAAUGUUGGGGCUGGAGAGAUGGCUCAGUGGUUAAGAACACUGGCUGCUCUUCCAAAGGUCCUGAGUUCAAUUCCCAGCAACCACAUGGUGGCUCACAACCAUCUAUAAUGAGAUAUGGUGCCCUCUUCUAGCCUGCAGUCACACAUACAGGCAAAAUACUGUAUAAAUAAAUAAUAAAUAAAUCUUUAAAAGCAAAA